CGUAUGGUGCAAGCGUUAUCCGGAUUUACUGGGCGUAAAGGGAGCGCAGGCGGUGCGGCAAGUCUGAUGUGAAAGCCCGGGGCUCAACCCCGGUACUGCAUUGGAAACUGUCGUACUAGAGUGUCGGAGGGGUAAGCGGAAUUCCUAGUGUAGCGGUGAAAUGCGUAGAUAUUAGGAGGAACACCAGUGGCGAAGGCGGCUUACUGGACGAUAACUGACGCUGAGGCUCGAAAGCGUGGGGAGCAA
rnacentral:rRNA from 1 species